GACGGAGGGUGCAAGCGUUGUCCGGAAUCAUUGGGUGUAAAGGGUGUGUAGGCGGGAUGGCAAGUCAGGGGUGAAAUCCCACGGCUCAACCGUGGAAUUGCCUUUGAUACUGCUGUUCUUGAGUCCCGGAGAGGCCACUAGAAUUCGUGGUGUAGCGGUGAAAUGCGUAGAUAUCACGAGGAAUACCAGUUGCGUAGGCGGGUGGCUGGACGGGAACUGACGCUGAGGCACGAAAGCGUGGGGAGCAAACAGG
rnacentral:misc_RNA from 1 species